GAACCAGGUCGCUGGCUGUUCCAAGUGGAUAAGUCAAUUAUCGGAGUUCCCACACCAGCAAGUGAUUGCUUGGAUGAAUAAGUGAAACUGCUUCCAACACAGACUAUCUGCUUCUCCAUGCUAGCCUGGGAUAAGUUGAACAGCAUCUGCAAUCUUGCUUAAAUCCCUCUGCUACCCUCUUCAAACAAGAAAAAUUUUCUGGAGCUUCCAUUGACUGUAGAUUUAGCAAUAAAUGAUUGCACUCAGA